CACGUAGGGGGCAAGCGUUGUCCGGAUUUAUUGGGCGUAAAGAGCUCGUAGGCGGUUCGGUAAGUCGGGUGUGAAACCUCCAGGCUCAACCUGGAGACGCCACCCGAUACUGCUGUGACUAGAGUCCGGUAGGGGAGCGUGGAAUUCCUGGUGUAGCGGUGAAGUGCGCAGAUAUCAGGAGGAACACCAGCGGCGAAGGCGGCGCUCUGGGCCGGAACUGACGCUGAGGAGCGAAAGCGUGGGUAGCAAACAGG
rnacentral:rRNA from 1 species